rnacentral:lncRNA from 1 species
CAAUGUGCAGUUCUGAGAAGGGAUUCAGUGUGCCGUUGCUGGCUCUGAGAAGUAGGAGCCUUGUGCAAGGAUUCAGGAGAGGCCUCUAGAAACUGAGGAUGGCCCUCAACUGGCAAGCACAGGCAACUGAAUUCGGCCAGGCAUCUGGGUCCUGUGCUAGGGGCUAGGAAGACAAAGAGAAACAGAGUCACAUCCUCCCACAAAAAUCCAUGAGAUGUCGGAGAGCCGAACUUGUAAACAGCCAUCAUCAACACAAAGAAGGAUGCACUGAUGCUCUCUAGAGGCUCACAGGAAAUGAUUCAUGGGCAUAGAGGAUAAGCACCAUCUUUGGAAGCACGGCCUCAAGAUGAUGACAUGGAGGGGACUCACACUUACAGGUAGGGGAGCUUCAGGUCUGCCGGCCCUCUCCUCCCUCCUUGUCACCCCUCAACCUCUGGGCUGCCCUUUGGGCUCAUAACAAUGGAUCUCAGAGCCCAAGGAGGUUGGGCUUCCACUCUGGGGGACUCUGGAAGCUCCUGGGUUAACUACUCUCAGGGCUCUGGUUUUCUCCAUGUAGAUAAAAUACUUGAUUUCUUGGAACAAUUUUUCUUUCUCAGUCUGAGGGCUCUGAUAUAUACAUAACCUUUGUAUUUGGGCCAUCGACACCAACCACAUGCCGUGAGGCUGGAGGGAAUGGAAGGAGAGCAGGUGGUUAUGACUGCAGACCUUGGCCUGACCCCAGGGAGCGCCGGGGUGGUUUUAUCAUUUCCUGGGCAUCACAGCACUGUUUUCCAGGCUGGGCUUCUGUACCACUUGCUGUUAUACCGUAUUUUCAAAUUGACCCACCUUCCUUUCCAGUGGGAAUAUGAACAUUUUUUCUCUUGAUGCAUGAUUCUCCUUAGCUUCCUCCCCUAUUAUGGAGUUCAAAAAGAAUGUGGCUAGGGCAAAGAAGUUUCUGCUUUCGGGGUUAAACAUCAGGCUUGCUGCAACUCUGCCAGGCAGAACGGCUUUCUUCAUGUGGCAAGACCCAAAGUGGGCAGCCAGGUCCACCUGGGGACAAGGGCGCCAGACUCACCUCUCACUGGAGGCUGGGAAGGAUUCUCAAUGCACAGGAAAGUUCUCUGCCCCUCAUCCAUCUCCCAAAAAAGGAAGAGGACACACUUCUGGAGAGGUUAGAACUCUUCAAAGAAAACAUGCCACACGUACUGACGACGCCCUCAUCUUCACACAGCUGCCCCCAUCAUAACUUCCCUUUGGUUUUCUACAGCCUGCCACUCAAUCCUUAAGAAAGAGUUCUUUUGGGUGCUUGGGGUUUUCAAAGCAAGGACCCUGAUAUUUCGGUCUUUAUAUAAAAACACAUCAUUGGGGGAGACCUCAAUUUUAAAACCUGCCUCUUCCCAUUUUCAAGGAGGUUUAUAUUACUUGUUCCUCUGGUUAUCAAGGAAAAUAAUUGAAAAGAGAAUA